AUGGUUUCUGAUUUCUUUUUGAGUUUCUUGAACUUAUCUUUAAUAGACAUGGCGUUGGAAGCCCUAUCAAUAGUUUCCAGCUUCUUUGCCUUAGUUUUCGCAAUGGACAUAGAAUCAAAAUCAUUAUCAAUGGUUUUAGGUUUCUUUUUAAGCUUCUUCGACUUGAUUUCUGCUUUGUGCAUUAAACCAGAAUCACUAUCAAUAAUUUCUUGUUUUUUCUUCAGCUUCUUAGUUUUUACUUCUGCAACAGACAUGGAGUCUGAAUCACUACCAUUAGCUUUCAGCCUCUUAGACUUGAUUUUGGCGAUAGGCAUAGAGUCUGAGUCACUAUCAACAGUUUCUGCCUUUUUUCCUAACUUCUUGGGCUUCAUAUUGGCAAUAGGCAUGGAGUCUGAAUCACUACCAUUAGCUUUCAGCCUCUUAGACUUGAUUUUGGCGAUGGGCAUAGAGUCUGAGUCACUAUCAACAGUUUCUGCCUUUUUUCCUAACUUCUUGGGCUUCAUAUUGGCAAUAGGCAUGGAGUCUGAAUCACUACCAUUAGCUUUCAGCCUCUUAGACUUGAUUUUGGCGAUGGGCAUAGAGUCUGAGUCACUAUCAACAGUUUCUGCCUUUUUUCCUAACUUCUUGGGCUUUAUAUUGACAAUCGGUAUGGAGUCCGAAUCGCUACUCCCAGAUUCUGAAUUAGAUUCAUAGCCAUUUGGUUCUUUUACUAUAUUCAACGGUUUGUUUGGGUUUGAAAGUACCUUUGUAACGGUUUUUGAACUUUGCCUUUUCACCUUACUUUUUUCCUGAGACUUCUUCCGAGAUUCUGAUCCUGAAUCAAAAUCUGAGGCUGAGUCUUCAAGUUUCUUAGGUAUAUUUGACUUGACCUUUUAUUCAAGCAGGUUACAGAACCUUUCGAUUCCAUUUUCUCACUUUCAUCUGACUUUUUCUUGAUCUGCGAUUUUGGAGUUGAGCAUUCGAGUGAUUUGUUCCUUCCUUUGGUUUUCUUGGUAGACUUUAAUUUUCUGUCCCCUUCUCGUGCUGAUUCUAUUUCUGUUUCGGUAUCUCUUUUGAUUGAUACUUCCUCAGAUUCAGCCUCUUCUUCCGACUGAUUAGAAUUAUUUCCUCCUACAAAAAGUUUACGUUUGACUUGCUUAUCAGACUCAGAGUCAGAAUCAAUAUAGAUUGCUUUUCCUUGCUUCAUGGAUCCACUAGCUGCGGAAAGAACGGUUUCUUCAUCAGAAUAUUCAGGAGAAACCUCUCUUUUCUUUUUGACAACCUUCUUUUGUCUCUUUUCAGUCAAAGUUGAGCCCUCGGUGUCUGUAUCAGAAUUUGAACUUUCACUUGAUAUCAUUACACUGCUUUUCUUAUGUUUAAUGUUAGGAUUAGAAUCAUUGGAAACACUAUCUAUACCUUUCAUUAACUUUUGUUCUGAGGCUGGGGGACUAGAAGAGUUGAGGCUCCUGUCCUCAGGCUCUGACAGAUCCCAGAAUGACCGUCUGGUUCGUAGAGAACGACCUGUGAUGAAACAGAAAUUAUUCAAGAGAUUAAAAUAAAAGUAUGGCAUGACAAGGACUACUUCAUGCUAAAAAUCCCAAACUGAUUUUUACUUAUGUUAACUAAAGUAUUCUUUAGCCUGGUUUUUUUUGCCCGGUAAGGUACAGGAUGUUUUUCUAGCUUUCUCUCUGAAGAUAAAAUUAAGUAAUGGAUCACAAGACAGCCUACAAAAUGUAGCACAGCAGUAAAUGGACAUUGCCGUACUAAGAGAACACUGUAUGAGCCUUCAGACGUUGCCAAGUUUCCUCUGAUAAAAACCAAAUUUACUGGUAAAAUUGCGAAGAUUAUUUUCCAAAGUUUUUAGACAAUUUUGUACACAAUUCAAUGUAAUAUAUCUGAAAAUUUCAAGAAAAAUUAUGCAUGAAUGUUGUCAAAAAUAUAUGUUUUAUCAAGGGAAAUUUGGAAACUCUGGAAUGUUCAUUCGGCGUUUUUCCUUAGCACGGCAGUACAUGCAUUGAAACUUUCUUAGAAUACGAUUGAACAUUGACUUAUACUAGAUUCAACUCAUAAGAAGAAAAUAAGUGUUCUUGCCAAUGUUAAUGCACACUUCUCACUGACUUAAAAACCAGAGUCUACUUGAGUCAAAUCCAGCACUGAACUAUUUUCCGUUUAUUUUACGAUGGUAAGAUUUUCCGGUGUAAUAACUUUUUCGCACAAGAUUAAAGGUAGGUAUCUUUAUUAGAAAUGGAGAAAAAUGUGUGUGAAACCGGGCUCCAGGUAUUUGCCAAGUAUUCAAUGCUGAAUGUGGCCUACAUUCACUAUGGUUUUAUAGCACAGGAGAAAUUCGAAUGUACAGUUUAUCAUGUAAACUACAGACGUUUAUUUCUUACUUACAAGUUGAUUUUGAAAGUUUUUGGUGUGUUCAAUGUGUUUUGCAUCAAAUCUUGAGGAUAAAACAAG
rnacentral:lncRNA from 1 species